CAUUAAAUAACUAAAAGUUAGUAUUGGUCUCUUAAACCAAUUAUAAUAAUUUAACGCCUAUUUUUAAUG
rnacentral:tRNA from 1 species